GGGUCGUUAGCUCAACUGGAAGAGCCGCCGACUCUUACUCGGCAGGUUCGGGGUUCGAGUCCCCGGCGACCUA
rnacentral:tRNA from 1 species